CUAGGAAGAGAGAUGGCUAGUGAGGUUUAGAUUAUGUUGACCCUUACCUUUCUUCUGUGGGAUGUUGGAUAUUCCUUAUACACUUAUGGCUCCAUCAUCAUUAUUGCAUUAAUUAUUUGGCAAGUGAAAAAGAGCCACCAAGAAUUAAGGUUGGGACCUAACAGGAGCUCUUGCCGGCAUCACAGGAGAGUCAAACAAAGGGCUAAAGAUAGAACAUCAAGAGCUAGGAGGUUUUGCCAGGAAGAAGCUGAGAAGCCGUGGGAGCUGCUCUCUAUCAUGAAAAGCCAGGGCUGGCUUCCUAAGGAGGGAAGUGUGAGGUGGCUCCUGUGUGCAGAUUCCACCUGCCCCAUCUGCAGUGCUGUGGCUCUGGAAAUUCAGCAGUUGCUGACGAGUGAGAACACCCUGAUUUCUCCCCCUUCAUCGGGACCAUCGCAGGGCUCCUCUUGCCUAGAGAUUUUGUCCAAGUCUAGUCUCCCUUUGGAGCAGAGUCAGGGUUCCCUGCACUCCAAAGAUCUUUCACUUCCAUCUGUAACCCCCACAAAGUUACAGUUAACGGAUCAGAAAUCCUUAACACAGUCAGCUGCCCAGUCAACCAAUAUCAGCAUCCAAGAUCACCAGGCUGAACACCUUCAGCGAAGGAAGGCAUUUCAAGUGCCAGAUGUGUCCAGGGAUGCAGGAGAUCUUUCUUCUUCAAGUGAGGCGCCUAGGAUUCCCGGGAAUCAGCAGGACAAGAGGAAGAGCCACUCGGAAUGUGUGCUGGAGAAACAAGAAGCUGCAGAAGCUGGCUUAGGAAAUAAGGUGAAGCACUUUCCACACUGGAUUAACCCCAAGAUGAAAGGUCAAGGGCAUAAAGAAUCCAUUCUCCUCUCUAAGGAUGAGACAAUGCCCAAAACCAUGACAAAAAAGGUUGAGAAGACUCCACCCCCCCACCAAACACCCUGUGAGAGGAGCCAAGUUGAAGAAGAAAACAGAGGAGGAGGGCAUGACCUUCUUUGAUGCCCCCCAGUCUCUGGACAAUGAACUCAAGCAACAAUCCCUUCCGCCCAGAUGCUCCUGGUUCCUGUGCCUUUCCCAAGACAGCUCCAAGCACUGUCCUCAGCUGACUUGUGCCACUCAGCCAGAAAAUCCAUCCCACGUCUCAGCUCUCACCUCAGCAGAAGGCACUGGUCUACACAAAGAGAAUACCCAGUCCAGGAAAAAGGAGUUUGUAGGUUCCCAAUCCUCUGCAUGCCCAUGAAAAAGGAUGUCAUCAUUUCCAUUAAUGUGCAGAACUACCUUUUUUGUCUUGAUUUAAAGAUGGCUACCUCUAAAAGACAAGGACAACAUUGUGGAGUAUAAGCGUCACAGAAAAGUC